UACGUAGGGUGCGAGCGUUGCCCGGAAUUACUGGGCGUAAAGAGCUCGUAGGUGGUUUGUCGCGUUGUUCGUGAAAACCGGGGGCUUAACCCUCGGCGUGCGGGCGAUACGGGCAGACUGGAGUACUGCAGGGGAGACUGGAAUUCCUGGUGUAGCGGUGGAAUGCGCAGAUAUCAGGAGGAACACCGGUGGCGAAGGCGGGUCUCUGGGCAGUAACUGACGCUGAGGAGCGAAAGCGUGGGGAGCGAACAGG
rnacentral:rRNA from 1 species